GUGGGCGUAGUUCAGUGGUAGAACGCCUGACUGUGGCUCAGGAGGUCGCGGGUUCGAUCCCCGUCGCCCACCCCA
rnacentral:tRNA from 1 species